rnacentral:rRNA from 1 species
AGUGAACGCUGGCGGUAGGCCUAACACAUGCAAGUCGAACGGCAGCACAGUAAGAGCUUGCUCUUACGGGUGGCGAGUGGCGGACGGGUGAGGAAUACAUCGGAAUCUACUUUUUCGUGGGGGAUAACGUAGGGAAACUUACGCUAAUACCGCAUACGAUCUACGGGUGAAAGCAGUGGAUCUUCGCACCUUGCGCGAUUGAAUUAGCCGAUGUCGGAUUAGCUAGUUGGCGGGGUAAAGGCCCACCAAGGCGACGAUCCGUAGCUGGUCUGAGAGGAUGAUCAGCCACACUGGAACUGAGACACGGUCCAGACUCCUACGGGAGGCAGCAGUGGGGAAUAUUGGACAAUGGGCGCAAGCCUGAUCCAGCCAUACCGCGUGGGUGAAGAAGGCCUUCGGGUUGUAAAGCCCUUUUGUUGGGAAAGAAAAGCAGCAGGUUAAUACCCCGCUGUUCUGACGGUACCCAAAGAAUAAGCACCGGCUAACUUCGUG